rnacentral:lncRNA from 1 species
UCACUUAGAGUUUUAGUUUAGUUUUAUUGAGACUUUCCCUGAGACCUUGGAGCAUAUGGUGGGAUGGGAGUACAAAUAAACAAACAAACCCAGCGUGAAUCUAAGCAGGCAGCCCUGUUGCUUAGCAGAAACAAACUCUGAGGCCACAGACCAGAAGUCCGCUUGUUCUGAAGCAGCGCCUGCUGCCCAAUCUUCCGCUCCUGCCCCAGUUUCAGUUUUAGUAAGCCUGUACAAACCAGCCUGGCAAGGUGCCCAACCCGCAGAUGCCUGAUGCCCGUUUGUUUGCGUGCAGGGCAUGGAAAGGAAGCCAAAGCCAGAGGUGGACUACGCCAGCAGAGAGCAAGGGAGCUGCGCUGGGAGCGACAAGAGCUUGGACAGAGUGAACGAUGGAGCAGGGGACAGACCAGGCAGAGGUUCCUUUCCGCACCCAAUUCUAAUGGCGGGAAUUGUCUUUUCCAGGGAGAGGGCGAUAAAGAUGGAAGGCUUGAGAAGGACACUGAUGUGGACAACUGCAGGAGGUCCAAAGAGAAACUUCUGUCAGAAAUCGGCUCCCUCUUGACAGAAAUUGCCUUUCUGAAGGAGGUACGAGAGCAGCUGAGGUACAAGGACCCAGAAUCCAGGAAGGAAACCACCAAGGCCCUUACGGAAACCAUCCAAGCCAAGCUGGAGGUGGCUCACGCGAAGAUCGAGGCGGCGGAGGCCAAGAAGGAGACCUUGGAGGCCCAGAGGAGGGCCGAGGAGGCCAAGGAGUCGGCGGAAGCCGCUCAAGCCCGGGAGGACAGCCUCUUGUCCUACGUCUCCAAAAUCGCCACCCUGGCCUACCAGCAGGCUGCCGAGGCCGAGUAUGACUGCGCCCAGGCCCGGAAGGCGAUGGCCGCGGCAGAGGCCAUCAACGUGGCUGCCUUCAGCGAUGCCCGAGGGCACCGCGGCCACAAGCUCCAGCACGAGAAGCACCACCGGAGCUCCCGGAGCAGCCACAGCGACUGCCGGUGUCACCACCACCACGGCCACCACCACGGCCACCACCACGAGCACCGCAGCCACUACGAGACCCAGAGCAACCAGGCCCACUCCGACCUGGAGACCCUGAGCAGCACCCGAUGAGGGCGGGAGGG